GUGAUGGACAGUCGUCAUGGAAACCUUCUCAGUCGGCUUCCAUUUUGUUCCUGACUUUUUUUCUCCCUUCAAAGGACCGAUGACCGCCGUUACCGAAGCGCUCGAUAGCGAUUGAGAAAUCGAUCGUCGAUUCGCGCGUCGUAUCGAUGACAAACAGCCCAGUGUGGCGAGUUUAGUGCGCAAGUCCUGUGCGCGGGUUUGCAGCGCGCGCGCGUGCGCGCCAUUUUGUCCAGGGCCAGCGGCGGCGCGCGCGCAGGAUGAGUGACUGACGGACGGGACCGCGGAGCGCGCCGACGCUCACCGAGAGAGUUCUCGCUGUUCUGUGUGUGUUCUGUGAGGCUUUGCAUCCGACACGCUUUGGGAAAGGGAUUCCUGAGGAACACGGCUGGGAAUUACUGCGGAUUCUCCCGGAGGAUUUUCACUCCUCUCGUCAGAAAGAAACGCGCGCGACACGAUCUUCACCAAUGGUUGUGCAAGUUGAAGAUCAACUCAACCAUCUCGAAACACGGCAAGACCCUGCUGAAACACCAGGGCUGUUCUCACCUGGAAACCACUCGCGAGUCGCUUCAGUGGGCUGUGGUUUGCAGAUGGACUCCCCUGUCACAAUGAUAUGAGAUUUGUCAGAAGACGAUGCAUACAGGUGAGCCUCUCACUAACCCACAGGUGCG